CACAGAGAGCGGUUUGAUAUGUCACUGAAACCAGCAUCCAGGUGGUAUUGCUCCAUAUGCCUGAGACCCUAACAAAAGCCUAAUUACAACUCAUAUGCCUGGAGCCAGGACAUGUGCAGGAUGCCAUGAUGGUCCAAGUUAUAUUGGGAUUCAGCCAAUAGAAGAUAUUUUGCCUGUCAUCCCUAAGCUUAGGACAAUAGACUCUGCCAAGAGAGGGGAUUAUUACAUAUUGCAGAGCCCAGCACCUAGGUGGAGUGACUCUCAUCUUUUUCUUCUACCCCGUAUAUAGCCAGCUUGGUGACCUACUAUUUGAGUCUAUACCCAGGCCCAGACCACAGAUGAAAUUGUGCAAUAUGUGGAACAAACACCUAAACAAUAUAUAACACCUUCCUUGGCUCUGUCUACAAAGGGCACUUUUAUAUAUCACUGGGACCAUCAACCAGGUGAUGUUGUGCCAUAUAACUGAGACCGUAUCAAAAGCCUAAUAACAAGACGUAUGUCUGGAGCCCCGAUAUGCACAGGAUGGUGAUAUAACCCUCUUCUCUGGAAUGGGCCCCACACAAAGGAAGGAUAGUGACAUAUUGCAAGCCCAGGCACACAGGCCCAGAGCACAGUUGAAAUUGUGACAUAUGUACACCAAGCAACCAAGCAAUGUAUAACACCUCAUUUGGCAAUGGAAUCGAGGGCACUUUUACAUAUCACUGAG
rnacentral:lncRNA from 1 species